GUGCCCCGUACUGGAAUCGAACCAGUGAUCUUAUCAUUACUAGUGAUACGCUUUACCACUGAGCCAACGGGGC
rnacentral:tRNA from 4 species